rnacentral:lncRNA from 1 species
CUUGGAUAUAUGAGGGAAUGGGGCGGGGAAAUGAGGAUAGAGGGCCAGGGCAGUUCAAAGAGAGUCCCACAGGCUGUGGUCAGAAAAUUUCAUCUUAUCCCACAAGCUGUGAGGAACCAGGGAAGAUGUUAAGCUUCGGAGUAUUAAAGUCAGAGUAAUAAACAUGGAAAGAAGCAAGAAGAGAAGGGUGUGCUGUGUUUUGAAAGGCCAGGUUGCAGUGUGGAAGAAGGCCUGGGGAGAGAGCCUCUGAGGUCUCUGGCCUGUGUUGGCUGGGGGGGUUGCAAGAAAAGGAAUUAAAGUGUGGAAAAGGACCAGCAAGCAACACAUUAUGUUAAAAGUUGUUGACUUCUGUUUAAAUUUAAUACUAUCAAUGAAUGACCACGCAGUCUUGGAGGAUCCUGCAGACUAAUUCUGGAUGCUGCUAAAGGAAGGUAUGAGGCUUAGAGCUCUGGCUACCACUGUGACUGUGAGUGGGCACUGAUGCUGAUCCACUGAGCAGCAAAGCGUGGAAAGAUAGAAAGAACCUGGAUCAUUGUGACAUCACUGAGCUGUUGCAACCAUCCUGUACCACCAGACCUCUUGUUACCU